rnacentral:rRNA from 1 species
AUUGAACGCUGGCGGCAUGCCUUACACAUGCAAGUCGAACGGCAGCACGGGAGCAAUCCUGGUGGCGAGUGGCGAACGGGUGAGUAAUAUAUCGGAACGUGCCCAGUCUGGGGGAUAACGUAGCGAAAGCUACGCUAAUACCGCAUACGAUCUAUGGAUGAAAGCGGGGGAUCGCAAGACCUCGCGCGAUUGGAGCGGCCGAUAUCAGAUUAGGUAGUUGGUGAGGUAAAGGCUCACCAAGCCGACGAUCUGUAGCUGGUCUGAGAGGACGACCAGCCACACUGGGACUGAGACACGGCCCAGACUCCUACGGGAGGCAGCAGUGGGGAACUUUUUGGACAAUGGGCGCGAAGCCGUGAUCCAGCAAUGCGCGUGCAGGAU